rnacentral:rRNA from 1 species
GACGAACGCUGGCGGCGUGCUUAACACAUGCAAGUCGAACGGAAAGGCCCUGCUUUUGUGGGGUGCUCGAGUGGCGCACGGGUGAGUAACACGUGAGUAACCUCCCCCUGACUUUGGGAUAACUUCAGGAAACUGGGUCUAAUACCGGGUAGGACCUCCUGCUGCAUGGUGGGGGUUGGAGAGUUUCGCCGGUUGGGGAUGGAAUCGCGGCUUAUCAGCUUGUUGGUGGGGUAGUGGCUUACCAAGGCUUUGACGGGUAGCCGGCCUGCGAGGGUGACCGGCCACAGUGGGACUGGGAUACGGCCCGGACUCCAACGGGAGGCAGCGGGGGGGAAUAUUGCAAAAUGGGCGGAAGGCUGAUGCAGCAACGCCGCGUGCGGGAGGACGGCCGUCGGGUUGGAAACCGCUUUCGCCUGUGACGAAGCGUGAGUGACGGUAAUGGGUAAAGAAGCACCGGCUAACUACGUG